CUCUGCUACUCUCAGUCGAAGAGAUAUGCCGAGAAGUGAAUUUGGAUCUGUGGACGGGCCUCUGUCUCAUCCUCAAUGGGCAGCUGACGCAUCUGGGAAACCCACUCCUUCUGAUCCGGGGUCUGGUACAGCUGCCAUGAUGAACAACAGCUCAAGAGGCUCUUCCCCUACCAGGGUGAUGGAUGAAGGCAAGGUAAAUGUACCCAUUUUGAAUAGUUAUUUCAAGUACAUUUAGCUUUUCCUACAACUCUCUCUUCGCUUC